rnacentral:Y_RNA from 1 species
GGUUGGUGUGAAGGUAGUGAGUUAUCUCAAUUGUUCACAGUCAGUUACAGAUUGAACUCCUUGUUCUGCUCUUUCCCCUCUUCUCACUACUGCACUUGACUAGUCUAAA